GGAAAGACGAGCCGUGGAGGCUUAAAGCGCAUCAGUGCUACGAUGUGGAUGCGGUCGGGACGAGGGAGGUCCACACAGGAGGAGGAAAGGCCCCACUUCCACGUUUCGUGAGGGGAUUCUGGAGUUUUCCCCGCCUUCUCUUCUCUUCUCCCCUCAGCCACUGCUUCCCUCACAUUUAGGCCGCAAAACUCACCCCUAUCCCCCGUCGGCCACUCUCCUUCUUCUUCGACGAAGGGCUUCUUCCUCUCCGACGAAGGGCGACGACGACAGAGGCAGGAGAAGCGGCGGGGGCUGUUCCGCGUAGCUCCGCCUCCCCGCCCGCCCCCUUCCCUCCUUCCUUCCUCCUUCCCUCCUCUCUCACUGACUGACUGACUGACUCACUGACUGACUUCCCCUCAAUAACAACGUGCUGAGCAGCGCGGCCCCUCAUUGGUCCGCCGCCGACUCGUGACGCGCUCGCGCUGGCUUCUAUUCCCCUAUUGGCCGCGGCUGCGUGCUCCCUCGGUUCUCAUUGGCCUGGCAUCCCAAGGAGGCGAUUGGGCGAGGCGUUCUACCCUCUUCCCCCCUCCCUCUCCCGUUUCUAUAAGUGGAGGAGACUUCUGAUUGGUCGGCUGAAGCCUUCCUUCUCCCUCCUUUUCUCUCUAUCUGACUGACUCCGAAUGACAAGGCGCUGCACAGGACGGCCUGCCAUUGGUGGAUUCUAUUCCCGCCCCCUUCUUUUCCCAUUGGACGCCACUGCUGCUCCGGGGAGGCCAUUGGGUGAGGGAAUGCUACGCUCUACAAAGCCCGCCUUCUUCAAUCGCGAAGGCUUUAAAAGGAAGUCAAAGUUUCCACACCGAGAGCUCCGCCUUUUUUCUUCUCGCGAUGCGAUUGGGUAGAAGCUUAAACCGAAGGCGUGAGAUGAUUGGCUGGCGAGGGCCCCGUCUCUUAGGAACGGGAGAAAAAGAGGGCGGGGCCGACGCGAAGGCUUGUUUGUGGUGGCGAAGGAAGAAUUCAACCCGCGCCGACUGCGCAUGCGCCUCCAGGCCUGCGGUGGGGAUUGCGGCCUCCCUCUGCCUUCCAGCGGGCGCCAUUUUAUGCUCGCCUCAGUCACGGGCGGAAAGAGCGCUGCGGCUGCCACCGGCCUGGCCUGAGCUGUAUGACUUCAGAACUCACCCUAAAACGGCAUUUAAGUGACGUGGUCCUUGAGGCAGUGACAAGCAAAAUUGAGCAGUGAUGAAGUACUUCAUGAAGGUUCCUGUGACAUCAAAUUACUUACAAAGAACAAGAAUUUCAGUUGCAAAACUGGGAAAUAGAACUCAAGAAGAAUAAUCUUCACAUACAUAGUUCUGAGGACAGCUGAAUGGAAGCUAUAACAUUCCAUAUGUUGAAGCAGUUGACAAGAUGGUUGUAGAUCAUCAGUAGGGGGUCAGAAAUCAUGUGAGUUAAAUGAUGGGGGACCUUUGAGUUGAAUGUUGAUCCAAAUAUGGCACCAGUUUAAAAUUCUUGGAGUCAUGAUUGGAGGAAUCUGAACUACAGUGUAUGUGUGGACAUAUCAGAUAGCCCAGACUGUCAGUUUUAGAUAACAUGAAGCUGAAAUAAAUUUGGGUACACCUAAGUCACAUAUUGACUUAGUUUACUCCAUGAAUUACAUCAAAUUUUCUUAGGCAAGGAAUACUCAGGUGGUUCUACCACUUCUGAAAUAUAGCCUACAGCGUCUGGUAUGUGUUGGUGGUCUCUUGUCAAAGGACUAAUCAGAGCUGACGCCGCUUAGCUUCCAAGAUCAGACAGGAUCUUGGUAGCAAUGAAAAUCUGGCCACAGUGCUGCAAGUAGAAACAGCACUGUGGGAGUGGAGGUGAGGAAUAACAUCCUUAUAGAAUUUAGUAUCUGAAAAUGAUGAUCUAAAUAUUAUUCAGUGUGACUAAAUAAGCUUGGUUGUGUAAAGAUAUAGCUGUGGUAGUGAUUCAAAGAAGCUUUAAAUUGCUUAUUAAACAAAGGAAGACAUGUUGAAACUUGCACUUUCCUAUAGCAGCUCAUUUUCAAGGAUAAACCAUUUAGAUGGUAGUAUCCCUUAUGCUGAAGAAGUUAUGUAUACUGUGAAAAUUAAGUCCUAGCUUUUAAUUUGGAAUCCAGGUAGUUUGUUUUUGUUUUGGUCUUGUUUUGGAUGUACUUUUGUAUUUUAUCCAUUUAUACCAAAUAAAAAGAAAUGCACUUAUAAACAGAUGAUACAAUGUUAAAAAUAGUUUCCUAAUUUUUAAUAGAAUAAAGCUCCUGAACAAUUAAGGUGUGCUUUUGUGAAAUUGUUUUAGCUGGUCUCUGUUCAGUUGUUUAUAAACCUGGCAUCAAAGGGGAUAGAAAAAUUAGUGGAAAUGGUUUUUUGCUUUGCAUAUUGUCCCAGAUUUGAAGUUAAAUGAGCUGUAUGCCCAUGGUUUUUAGAGUACUGAGUUUGUAACCUUAUCACAGAAGUAAUUUUAGGCUUGUUUGUUAUCUUGGACCAUCAGAUGCCCAUAUUUUGUGGCAAAUCUUAGGGGUUUUAUAGACUUGGCAGAUCUGGGUUCUAGUGCAUACUGAUUACACGUUUUGUCAGUCACUCUCUCCUCCAAUCUCUAUCCUCAUAGGGUUAUUCUGAGUAUGUAGCAGGGCCCACAGUAUCAAGUUCCUUUUUCUUUUCAACAGGGUCUUACCAUUUUCAGGAAAAGCUUGCCUUUUCUCUGAAGAAGAUUGUUAGUUAUUCUAGGGCUGGUUCUUCACAUCAAAUACAAAAUGCUGGUUCUUACAUUUGUGUUAUCUUCAUGCCCUGUUGUAUCAAAACUAUAUUUCAUUACAAAAAAAAUGUUUUGUCUUGCGUAGCUAAAAUAACACUACUUUCAGCUAAUAUAGGGGAAACCCAGGGUUUGCAGAAGUAGGAAAAUAGCUUAGUGGAAAAUCCUAGGACAUGGGGACCAGGUUCAAAACAGACUGAAGAUGCUCUUUUGACAGAGUGACAGUAGGCAUGUGGGGAGAAGUGAAAAAUAGUUCCUGUAAAGCAGUGGUUAUCAACCUGGGGUCCCCAGAUGUUUUUGGCCUUCAACUCCCAGAAUUC
rnacentral:lncRNA from 11 species